GGGCGCAUGGUCUAGUGGUAUGAUUCUUCUUUAGGGCUUGCUACUUGGCAAAGAUCCAUAGAAGAGGUCCUGGGUUCAAUUCCCAGUGCGCCCC
rnacentral:tRNA from 1 species